UGUAAUCUCACCCAUUUUAAACCCUAAUUCAUUUCCUCUCUCCUCCAAAUCUCUCUGCCUCUCUCUCUUCAAAAUCUCUCUGCCCCUCUCUCUCUUCAAAAUCUCUCUCCUCCAUUUUCGCCGGCAUCAACGAAGGUGAAGGUGCAGCAACGAAUUUUUUGUGCUCAAUUCAGGUUUUGUUGCGUUGGUGGUGGUGGCUGCGAUGUUGGAGGAUUUCAAGCGGUUGACGGUGGAGCAGCGCUUCGACUAGUGGUUGUUUGGUCGUUGUUGUUGCUCUUCUACUCUGCUGCUGCUGCCACCGUUUCUUCGCGUGGUGGCCGUUCUCGGUGGUGGCGGAGAAGUGUUUAUGGUUUCGAAUGCGAUGGCGAUUCUUCGUCUAGAAACUAGGAGGCGGAGAAGAGGCGGUGGUCCAUAUAGAAGCGGUGAAGGAAGGAGUGGAAGGAUAAGAGUCGGCGAUCUCAUACAGAAUUAGAGGGCGAAAGAAAGAGAGGAAGAAGUCGUCGGCUCCUCACCGUCUUCGUCGGCUCCUCGCCGUCUUCGUCGUCGCCAUCAACUUCCGAUAGGUGUUGCCAGAAAUUAAACGUGGUGGUGGUUUCUUAGUACUCUGCUCCUCCACUCUGCUUAUGCGAUUGUUCCUUGUUCAGUGGCUCAGUGCUGCUGGUGGUCGUCACUGGCGUUGAUUUUGAUUAAUUUCAUUUUAGUUUCUUUUAGUUAAAGAUUAUUUCGUUUUAGUUAGAAUUAUUGUUUUUAAGUUACACUUUUGUUACAUAUAGUUAUUAAAUAAAAUGGUUUGUUUAUAUU